GACGAACGCUGGCGGCGUGCCUAAUACAUGCAAGUAGGACGCAGUUGCGAACGGGUGAGUAAAGCGUAGGUAACUAACUAUUAGAGGGGGAUAACUAGUGGAAACGAUAGCUAAUACCGCAUACUAGUAGAUGGACCUGCGUUGUAUUAGCAGGUAGGUAGGGUAAUGGCCUACCUAGGCAACGAUACAUAGCCGACCUUAGGAGGUGAUCGGCCCCACUGGGACUUAGACCCGGCCCAGACUCCUACGGGGUGCUGCAGUAGGGAAUCUUCGGCAAUGGGGGGCAACCUGACCGCGCAACGCCGCGUGAGUGGAGGAGGUUUUCGGAUCGUGAAGCUCUGUUGUUAAGGGAGCGGUACUUAACCAGAAAGGGACGGCUAACUACGUGCCAGCAGCCGCGGUAAUUC
rnacentral:rRNA from 1 species